GACGAACGCUGGCGGCGUGCUUAACACAUGCAAGUCGAACGGAAAGGCCCCUUUGGGGGUACUCGAGUGGCGUACGGGUGAGUAACACGUGAGUAACCUGCCCUUGACUUCGGGAUAACUUCAAGAAACUGGGGCUAAUACCGGAAAGGAAUCCUUGCUGCAUGGUGGGGGUUGGAAAGCUUCGGCGGGUUUGGAUGGACUCGCGGCUUAUCAGCUUGUUGGUGGGGUAGUGGCUUACCAAGGGCUUGACGGGUAGCCGGCCUGAGAGGGCGACCGGCCACAUUGGGACUGAGAUACGGCCCAGACUCCUACGGGAGGCAGCAGUGGGGAAUAUUGCACGAUGGGCGGAAGCCUGAUGCAGCAACGCCGCGUGCGGUAUGACGGCCUUCGGGUUGUAAACCGCUUUCAGCAGGGGCGAAGCUUGUGGUGACGGUACCUGCAGAAGAAGCACCGGCUAACUACGUG
rnacentral:rRNA from 1 species